GACGAACGCUGGCGGCGUGCUUAACACAUGCAAGUCGAACGAGUGGCGAACGGGUGAGUAACACGUGGGUGACCUGCCCUGCACUUCGGGAUAAGCCUGGGAAACUGGGUCUAAUACCGGAUAGUGUGGGAUGGGCCCGCGGCCUAUCAGCUUGUUGGGGGGGUAAUGGCUACCAAGGCGCGACGGGUAGCCGGCCUGAGAGGGUGGUCGGCCACAUUGGAACUGAGACACGGCCCAGACUCCAACGGAAGGCAGCAGUGGGGAAUAUUGCACAAUGGGCGGAAGCCUGAUGCAGCGACGCCGCGUGAGGGAUGACGGCCUUAGGGUUGUAAAGUACUUUCAGCGGGGAGGCGUUACCCGCAGAAGAAGCACCGGCUAACUCCGUGCCAGCCGCCGCGGUAAUUC
rnacentral:rRNA from 1 species